GAUUUCUGACGAACCGGAGUGGCCCGUUCUCUUUCAGAGAAUGAGUGCCGCUUUGAGUUUGUCAUCCUUCCAGAGAGCUGCGUCUACCGUUUACUCGGCCGGACGUAUGCGAUCUGGAUCUAUUACUUUGAAAAAAUUAGAGUGUUUAAAGCAGGCUUAUGCUGUGAAUACAUUAGCAUGGAAUAAUAAUUUAGGACUUUGUUCCUAUUUUGUUGGUUUCUAGGAAUGAAGUAAUGAUUGAUAGGGAUAGUUGGGGGUGCUAGUAUUCAUCGGCCAGAGGUGAAAUUCUUGGAUUCGAUGAAGACUAACUUAUGCGAAAGCAUU
rnacentral:rRNA from 1 species